rnacentral:rRNA from 1 species
UCUGGUUGAUCCUGCCAGUAGUCAUACGCUUGUCUCAAAGAUUUAGCCAUGCAUGUCUAAGUAUAAAGGUUACAUACAAUGAAACUGCGAAUGGCUCAUUCAAACAGUUAUAGUUUAUUUGGAUUUACACAUUAGUUAAAUGGAUAACCGUAGUAAUUCUAGGGCUAAUACAUGCGUUACGGGGGACUUUACGGAACCCCAGUAUUUAUUAGAUUCAAACCAAUAUUCCGAAGGUCUACUUGAGAUGAUUCAUGAUAACUGAUCGAAUUGCUGGUCUACCGGCAAUAAGUCAUUCAUGUUUCUGCUUCCCAUCAGCUUGAUGGUAGUGUAUUGGACAACCAUGGCAUUCACGGGCUAUCGGGGGAUUAGGGUUCGAUUCCGGAGAGGGAGCCUGAGAAACGGCUACCACUUCUACGGAAGGCAGCAGGCGCGAAAAUUAUCCAAUCCUGAUUCAGGGAGGUAGUGAAACAAAUAAUGAACUAGGAUUUAUCCUGGGGUCACAAUGGGCUUGAUUUGCAAACUUUAUUUAGCGAGGAACAAUUGGAGGGCAAGUCUGGUGCCAGCAGCCGCGGUAAUUCCAGCUCCAAUAGUGUAUAUUAAUGUUCCUGCAGUUAUUCGAUGCUCGUAGUUGGAUUUCUGGAGGCUGAGAUCGGAGGGUAGCCAAGGUUACCGCUGAACUCUUCCUUCAUCCACCUGUUAACGUUGUCCGGGAUUCGUUUCUCGGCUUCGGGCUCAGGCAUAUACUUUUACCCUUUUUCUAUAUUUAUUGUUUUGAGUAAAUUAUAGUGUUUCAGGCAGGCGUGCGCCGGAAUACUUUAGCAUGGAAUAAUCGAAUUGGACCGUGUAUUCUUAUCGAAUUCUUCCUUAUUGUUGGUUCAAGGACACGGAAAUGGUUAAUAGGGAUAGUGUUUUUAUUAUCAGGGGAGGCAUAGUAUUUAAUUUCCAGAGGUGAAAUUCUUUGAAAUAUUAAAGACUAACUUAUGCGAAAGCAUUUAUUAUUGCCAAUAAUGUUUUCAUUAAUCAUUGAACGAAAGUUAGGGGAUCAAAGACGAUCAGAUACCGUCCUAGUCUUAACCAUAAACGUUGCCGACUAGGGGUCGGAGGGCGUGCACAUUCCGCCUUCGGCACCUUACGAGAAAUCAAAGUCUUUUGGGUUCUGGGGGUAGUAUGGUCGCAAGGCUGAAACUUAAAGGAAUUGACGGAAGGGCACCACCAGGGGUGGAGCUUGCGGCUCAAUUUGACUCAACACGGGAAAUCUUACCAGGUCCAGACAUAGCGAGGAUUGACAGAUUGAUAGCUCUUUCUUGAUUCUAUGGGUAUUUUAUAUAUAUUUUGGUGGUGCAUGGCCGUUCUUAGUUGGUGGAGUGAUUUGUCUGGUUAAUUCCGUUAAACGAACGAGACCUCAGCCUGCUAAAU